UGAAGGGUUAAAACAUGCUUUAUGAACUCUUAUGUGUUUGCAAUGGAUGCGUGCUGCCCUGUGUUAGAUGCCUUUGUCUCUCAUACAGAUACCAGGCUUGUGUGGGUCUGGCAUCCAAGGUCAGCUCUAUACUAGAUGAAACCUGCUUUUUCUACUUCUGUGUGUUACUAAAAGAUCUUGUGUUAAGUUCCAUCUGAUGCAACGUAUAUAACAUCUGCCUAGCAACUGCUAUAUCCAAUUAUGUUAUGUCAAGUAUUAACCACCCCUACGUACCCCACUAGGGCACCACCCCUAAGCCAAUGAGCCCUGUUACACUUAUCAGUUACACCCUUAUGUGUUCUCUUUUUAUACCAAUGUUAAACAUUCAAUAAAACAGUGUGAAUUCUUACUGCUUGUGUUGUGCAUGUACCUUGUGGCUAAGAGUUUACACUCCAGACGUCUAAGAGGCCAUCACAUCGAGGGUUAAGAAUAUAAGGUCAUAUCCUUUCAGCUGGGGGCUACGUCCGCGAUUCAGUGAUCGUCCCUGAAUGGUAAAAAUAGAGAAUUUAUUGUCUGUCUUUGCCAUACAGGAUUGCGGUCAUACACUGAAGCUGAAUCCGUGUCAGUGUUCCGGGAACACGUGACAAGGAACCUACACACCCCUUUAAAGUCGGAGACAGAGUCGUGGUGAAGGUGCUCCCCAGGAACAAGAGCCCAGGAGACUUCACCUAUGGUCCAGAGACAGAGGUCGUAGCAGUUACCCGGACAGCAGUCCUGACAGAGGAAAGUCCUACCUGGAUCCAUGCAUCCCGAGUAAAAAAGGUUCCUAGACCAGACCUAGAGAGGGAAGCAAGUGAUUCCAGUGAGGUACGAACCGGGGCAGACAGCCCUGACCUCCCACCUAGCGAAGAAAGAAGAACAGAAGAAGAUGAGGAACCUGUCCCCUAUCUUUAUCCUGGGGACUAUCUCGAUAGCCCUACUGGCCCUCAUUCACCUCACAAUAUGUGAAGUCGACAUCACACAAACAAAUGGAUCCCCACCUUGUGGUAUAAUUGCUCUAACACACACGUAGCCACAUAUAUCCUUGACUAUUUUAUGUUCCCCAAAAUUGCUGAUAACAAACAUUUCAUACAGCAGAAAAGGAAAUCAGGAAUGUCUGAGACAGUAUAUAUUUGUGUUACUGACGAAUGGUACUAUGACAUUAGAUAUUAUGGAUCUAAUUGUAAUUCCUGGGAAGCUGUGGGGUGGAAUACAGGAGCAGAUUGGAAAUAUGGCCCAUCAUUUGCAAAAAAUAGAUAUAGCAAAUAUCCCCAAAACAAACCUUUAAAGCCCCAUAUUGCCACUUCUAAAGAUAUGGUGGCUAUUACUAACCCUACCUUUGAAGACACCCUAGCUAUUGAAACUGGUUUCUCUGACAUUAAUUUUGGUUGGAAUGGAUGAAGUAUAGUGCUAACAAACACAAUAAAAGCAACUGUUAUGUCUGUGGCAAAUCUAGGCCCCACCUAGGUACAGUGCCCCUUAAUAUACCCCUAGAACAGGAAAAUUGUUUUUUCAGCCUUUUUAAUGACACCAAAACAAAUGACAGUCAGUGCGAAAUGUGGAAAAGGGAAUAUCCCAUAUUGUCAAAAAAUCCCAACCCAGGAAAUACCAUAACCAUAUAUCCUGGAAACUAUACCUGUUAUACAUCUAACAUCACCACAGGGAGAAAUUUAAAAACCUUCCCACCAGGGUAUUGUGCAAAUAAAAGAACAACUGUUUUAGUCAACCAAACUAGAUCAUUAGGCGACAUUUAUUACAUAUGUGGGGAUAUGAAACUUAGAAGUAAAUUAGACACACCAUGGUAUGGUGAGUGUGCCCUGGCCAAAGUCAUAAUGCCACUCCUAAUGAUCACCGAUGACCCCACUCCUCCCUCUAAUACUCCUGCUAAUCGAAAGAAAAGAGCACUCCCAGGAGGUAGCUUUGACCCCCACGUAUACAUUGAUACUAUAGGGGUCCCAAGAGGUGUUCCAAAUGAGUUCAAAGCUAGAGAUGAGGUGGCUGCGGGUUUUGAAUCAUUGUUUCCUAUAGUAACUGUAAAUAAAAACGUAGCCUGGAUUAAUUAUAUAUAUUAUAAUCAACAAAGAUUUGUUAAUGAUACCAAAGAUGCUCUUAAAGGUAUAGCUGAACAGCUAGAAGCCACUUCCCAAAUGACAUUCCAAAAUAGAAUGGCCCUUGACAUGAUUCUAGCAGAAAAAGGUGGUACAUGUGUUUACAUUAGUAAGGUGGAAGGCUGUUGUACAUAUAUUCCUGACAACACUGGUCCCAAUGGUAAGGUUACUUUAGCCAUAAACAAGUUAGAAACCUUAUCCAUAGAACUUAAGAAAAAUUCAGGUAUUGAUAACCCAUGGAGCCAAUAUUUUGGGUGGUUUGAAAAUUGGAAACAGGCUCUUGUGCAAAUAAGCAUAUUCAUACUUGUAACUUUAAUUCUUGUAGGCAUUAUAGUUUAUUGUGUAAUUCCCUGUGGAAAGAAACUUACCUCCAAAGGCAUUGAUAAGGCCCUGAUGUAUUAUGACAUAACCACCAGUCCUGUCACCUCCUCUGAUAGUAAGGGACCCGACGAUUAUGUCCAAUAUCUCAAGAACUGGAGAAACAAGAAAGGAGCCUCACUCAAGAAUCAUGUCAUAUAAUAAUCAUGAUUCUAAGAGGGGAUUGAAGGGUUAAAACAUGCUUUAUGAACUCUUAUGUGUUUGCAAUGGAUGCGUGCUGCCCUGUGUUAGAUGCCUUUGUCUCUCAUACAGAUACCAGGCUUGUGUGGGUCUGGCAUCCAAGGUCAGCUCUAUACUAGAUGAAACCUGCUUUUUCUACUUCUGUGUGUUACUAAAAGAUCUUGUGUUAAGUUCCAUCUGAUGCAACGUAUAUAACAUCUGCCUAGCAACUGCUAUAUCCAAUUAUGUUAUGUCAAGUAUUAACCACCCCUACGUACCCCACUAGGGCACCACCCCUAAGCCAAUGAGCCCUGUUACACUUAUCAGUUACACCCUUAUGUGUUCUCUUUUUAUACCAAUGUUAAACAUUCAAUAAAACAGUGUGAAUUCUUA